UGGGGAAUUUUGGACAAUGGGCGAAAGCCUGAUCCAGCAAUGCCGCGUGUGUGAAGAAGGCCUUCGGGUUGUAAAGCACUUUUGUCCGGAAAGAAAUCCUUGGCUCUAAUACAGUCGGGGGAUGACGGUACCGGAAGAAUAAGCACCGGCUAACUACGUGCCAGCAGCCGCGGUAAUACGUAGGGUGCAAGCGUUAAUCGGAAUUACUGGGCGUAAAGCGUGCGCAGGCGGUUUGCUAAGACCGAUGUGAAAUCCCCGGGCUCAACCUGGGAACUGCAUUGGUGACUGGCGGGCUAGAGUAUGGCAGAGGGGGGUAGAAUUCCACGUGUAGCAGUAAAUGCGUAGAGAUGUGGAGGAAUACCGAUGGCGAAGGCAGCCCCCUGGGCCAAUACUGACGCUCAUGCACGAAAGCGUGGGGAGCAACAGAUUAGAUACCCUGGUAGUCCACGCCCUAAACGAUGUCAACUAGUUGUUGGGAUUCAUUUUCCUUAGUAACGUAGCUAACGCGUG
rnacentral:rRNA from 1 species